GGCCAUAGCUCAGAGGUAGAGCAUCUGUCUUGCAACCAGAAGGUCCCUGGUUCAAUCCCUGACAUCUCCA